GUGUUGAUGUUCUAACGUCGACCCCUAAUCGGGGUUGCGGACAGUGCCUGGUGGGUAGUUUGACUGGGGCGGUCUCCUCCCAAAGAGUAACGGAGGAGCACGAAGGUGGGCUAAUCACGGUUGGACAUCGUGAGGUUAGUGCAAUGGCAUAAGCCCGCUUGACUGCGAGAAUGACAAUUCGAGCAGGUGCGAAAGCAGGUCAUAGUGAUCCGGUGGUUCUGAAUGGAAGGGCCAUCGCUCAACGGAUAAAAGGUACUCCGGGGAUAACAGGCUGAUACCGCCCAAGAGUUCAUAUCGACGGCGG
rnacentral:rRNA from 1 species